GGAAAAAAAAAGAAAAGAAAAAGAAAAAGAAAACUAAGAAGGAAAGAGGCAGUGUGGUCGAGAGAGGAGAUAAGGGGGAGAGAGGGAGAUUUCUCAAUAUACAAAAGUUGUGAUCUACGAAGAUCCAACCGUUCAAAUUCAAAUCCGACUUCGGUAACGUGAUCUACAAAGCCCGAUCUACGUUUCUACCGAUCAUUUUGAGGUAAUGGAUUACUUGGAACUUGUUUGAGGCUACCCAAACCAUGAGUUUUGGUUUGGUGAAAUUUUGUAAUGCAUUGUAUGGUGGUGUCUAGGAGACCUAGUGCUUAAUAUCCGCGCAGCCAGACAUUGAUGCUUUGGUUGCAGGCUCUGCGGAUAUAGAUAUUGACUCGUCCACCUAGCGUAUGGGAUACUAUGAUUGGAGCACAUCGCAACAGUCAUAAGACACGGACUCAUGGGUAGUCCGCAUUUUGGGUAUUUUAUCUAUGGCUCGUGUCCUACGUGGCACAUGUACUUGUGGAGCCUAUAUUUUAGAAUGUAAUUAGUAUAAUAUGUUAUAUAAGCCUUAAAUAGAUAGAUGUGUAAAUGGCUCUUGAUGUAAUUAACAGUUGUGUAUUAGAUGUACUUCCGCUUAUGAUAUGUGUUUCGCUGCACAUUGAUUACUA